rnacentral:rRNA from 1 species
UACGAAGGGGGCUAGCGUUGCUCGGAAUCACUGGGCGUAAAGGGUGCGUAGGCGGGUCUUUAAGUCAGGGGUGAAAUCCUGAGCUCAACUCCAGAACUGCCUUUGAUACUGAGGAUCUUGAGUUCGGGAGAGGUGAGUGGAACUGCGAGUGUAGAGGUGAAAUUCGUAGAUAUUCGCAAGAACACCAGUGGCGAAGGCGGCUCACUGGCCCGAUACUGACGCUGAGGCACGAAAGCGUGGGAGCAAACAGG